rnacentral:rRNA from 1 species
CACGUAGGGCGCAAGCGUUGUCCGGAAUUAUUGGGCGUAAAGAGCGUGUAGGCGGCUAGGUAGGUCCGUUGUGAAAACUCGAGGCUCAACCUCGAGACGUCGAUGGAAACCAUCUAGCUAGAGUCCGGAAGAGGAGAGUGGAAUUCCUGGUGUAGCGGUGAAAUGCGCAGAUAUCAGGAAGAACACCCGUGGCGAAGGCGGCUCUCUGGUACGUGACUGACGCUGAGACGCGAAAGCGUGGGGAGCGAACAGG